AACGAACGCUGGCGGCAUGCCUAACACAUGCAAGUCGAACGAGACCUUCGGGUCUAGUGGCGCACGGGUGCGUAACGCGUGGGAACCUGCCCUUAGGUUCGGAAUAACUCCCCGAAAGGGGUGCUAAUACCGGAUAAUGUCUUCGGACCAAAGAUUUAUCGCCGUUGGAUGGGCCCGCGUUGGAUUAGCUAGUUGGUAGGGUAAAAGCCUACCAAGGCGACGAUCCAUAGCUGGUCUGAGAGGAUGAUCAGCCACACUGGGACUGAGACACGGCCCAGACUCCUACGGGAGGCAGCAGUGGGGAAUAUUGGACAAGGGGCGAAAGCCUGAUGCAGCAAUGCCGCGUGAGUGAUGAAGGCCUGAGGGUUGUAAAGCUCUUUUACCCGGGAUGAUAAUGACAGUACCGGGAGAAUAAGCGCCGGCUAACUCCGUG
rnacentral:rRNA from 1 species